GACGAACGCUGGCGGCGUGCUUAACACAUGCAAGUCGAACGGAAAGGCCCUGCUUUUGUGGGGUGCUCGAGUGGCGAACGGGUGAGUAACACGUGAGUAACCUGACCUUGACUUUGGGAUAACUUCAGGAAACUGGGGCUAAUACCGGAUAGGAGCUCCUGCUGCAUGGUGGGGGUUGGAAAGUUUCGGCGGUUGGGGAUGGACUCGCGGCUUAUCAGCUUGUUGGUGGGGUAGUGGCUUACCAAGGCUUUGACGGGUAGCCGGCCUGAGAGGGUGACCGGCCACAUUGGGACUGAGAUACGGACCAGACUCCUACGGGAGGCAGCAGUGGGGAAUAUUGCACAAUGAGCGGAAGCCUGAUGCAGCAACGCCGCGUGCGGGAUGACGGCCUUCGGGUUGUAAACCGCUUUCGCCUGUGACGAAGCGUGAGUGACGGUAAUGGGUAAAGAAGCACCGGCUAACUACGUG
rnacentral:rRNA from 1 species